CAGUAGCCACGGUAAUACAGAGGGUGCGAGCGUUAAUCGGAUUUACUGGGCGUAAAGCGUGCGUAGGCGGCUUUUUAAGUCGGAUGUGAAAUCCCUGAGCUUAACUUAGGAAUUGCAUUCGAUACUGGGAAGCUAGAGUAUGGGAGAGGAUGGUAGAAUUCAAGGUGUAGCGGUGAAAUGCGUAGAGAUCUGGAGGAAUACCGAUGGCGAAGGCAGCCAUCUGGCCUAAUACUGACGCUGAGGUACGAAAGCAUGGGGAGCAAACAGGAUUAGAUACCCGUGUAGUCCCUGUCUCUUAUAC
rnacentral:rRNA from 1 species